GAUGAACGCUGGCGGCGUGCCUAAUACAUGCAAGUCGAGCGAACGGACGAGAAGCUUGCUUCUCUGAUGUUAGCGGCGGACGGGUGAGUAACACGUGGAUAACCUACCUAUAAGACUGGGAUAACUUCGGGAAACCGGAGCUAAUACCGGAUAAUAUUUUGAACCGCAUGGUUCAAAAGUGAAAGACGGUCUUGCUGUCACUUAUAGAUGGAUCCGCGCUGCAUUAGCUAGUUGGUAAGGUAACGGCUUACCAAGGCAACGAUGCAUAGCCGACCUGAGAGGGUGGUCGGCCAGACUGGAACUGAGACAGGGUCCAGACUCCGACGGGGGGCAGCAGUAGGGAAUCUUCCGCAAGGGGCGAAAGCCUGACGGAGCAACGCCGCGUGAGUGAUGAAGGUCUUCGGAUCGUAAAACUCUGUUAUUAGGGAAGAACAUAUGUGUAAGUAACUGUGCACAUCUUGACGGUACCUAAUCAGAAAGCCACGGCUAACUACGUG
rnacentral:rRNA from 1 species